CGAACCAUCAUUUGCUGCUUUA
rnacentral:miRNA from 1 species